GAUUGUAGAGAUCCUCAGAUGGAAGAAUCUGCAGGGACUGGUGAUGGAUUGGCUUGGAAAGGUGUGGAGGAAGGCCAGAGCGAGAAGGGAGAGCGAGGGUGAACCCCGGGUUUCUGGUUGGGAGUCUGGGCUUUGGGGGAGAAGGUGAAGUUUCAGGAGCCUGUUUCCAAGUGGGAGAGAAUACUUCCAGAAGGGAGGCUUGAGUUGGGCCAAAGCUGUGGUAGCUAAGGACUGAACUGCAGGGAGGCAGCUAGUGGCCCCGGAGGGAGCCGUGCGAUGGGACAGAAAACAGACUGGAGUAGAAUGAGUCUUCCCGAGGUAAAGUGUAGACAGGCAGGGAGUGUAGACCGUGCUUGGAAGGAGGGGAGAGGGUGUUAAGUGGAGGCAGAUGUGGGGUAGAAGGAGGGUCUGGUUGUGUUCUAGGAUGGCAGAGGCAUGAGUGCUUCCAGGAGGAGGUGCAGGCACAGUGAGGGGGCCCCCAAUGAGCACUGCCCAGGCAGGGGGCGGGUUCCCCGGAGCCUUCAAGGCCUGAGUGAUCCAGAGACGUGCCAGCUGGUGAUCUGCUUUUCACCUGUGAGGCUUAGCAGUUUGGGCAUAGACUUGGAGGAAGCAGCCCCACUGAGGUAGAGUGGCCUUUGCGGGGGGGCUUUGGCAGAAGGAUGAAGGAGAAAGUGAAGCUGCAGGACGAGGUAAAUUGCAAGGGAGUCACUGAGGUGAGGUGGCACAGCAGGAGGCUCCGAGGAACUGCUGAGAGCUCCGGGGCUGCCCCUGGCCGGCUAGAGGCCCUGCAGGGUCCCAGCUGAGAGCGCGGCCUAGCCGUGCAUCCCGGAUCUGCCAUGUAGUGUCACCGUGUCUGUGACCCUGGGCACGUCAUGUGACCUCUCGGACCUGUGUCCCCAUCUGGAAACAGAGAUGGCAAUAGCCUGUGCCUAUUGAGUCGUCACGAGGCUGACCUGAGAUGACACGUAACUCAGAUCGAGGGCUCAGAAGGGUGUUCCGCACAGAGGAGGUGCCGUAGCAAUGAGCUUACGGUCAAGGGUAGGAUGGCAGGCUUCUGGGAGGUGGAAGGGCUCAUGGUGCUUACAGGGGCGACCAGGCCCUGGGGAGGGGGGCUGGUGAGGGAGAGGCUCCCUGAGCUAGAAUGGAGGAGUUGGGCGCUGGAGCUGAGGAGCCAGCUGACCAGGAGGGCUCAGGAUGGGGUGGCUGUGGCAAGGAUGCUGAAGUCUCGGGGUGGGGGGGAAUUGGGCAGGAAGGCCACCUCCACACUGGGCAGCCCCCCGUCCUUCCCUCCGCUCCUCCCACUCGCUCCAGGCAGCUGGCAGAGGGGAGGCAAGGCCCAGACUGAGGCUGGGAGCCAAGUCUGGCCACAGACCCGGCCCCUGCUGGGGGCUGUGGCCCAAGGAGUGUGGUGGGCAAGUCUGAGCCCCGGAGCAGCCAGGAGCACCUCGCCCGGCUCAGUGCGGACUUGUUAGGCAGCUGAGGCAUAGAGAGGAGCCCAGCCCUCCCAAGUUGCCCAACCAAACCAAAGUUGAUAGUCUUGGUCAUCUGAGGCCUCGCCUCUGGUGUCUGCCUCUGCUCCAAAGUGCUUCUGGCCUAGACUCCAAAACAAAGACCGCAAGGCCUCUCCUGCCAGAGUGAGAGAUAGCACAAGCAGGGGGAGUGGCAGCGGGAGACGGAGAAGCAGGCUCCCGGAGGAGCAGGGGGCCCGAUUCGGGAUCCGGGCUCAAUCCCAAGACCCUGGGAUCACUACAGGAGCUGAAGGCAGCUGCUCAACCAACUGAGCCACCCAGGCGCCCUCAGGAGGUACAAUCUUAACAUGUGUUCAGAAGGGGGAGAACGAAAGAGAUCUAGUGAAGAGCACCAGGGACACCCCACAGCAGAGCCAACCAGAGCACCCGCCUCAGAACAGUACCCAACAUCACGACAGCCCCGGCUGCAGGGCCGCAGUCCCACAGAGGGAGAAGGAGGCACAAACUGAAUUGCAGUAGCUGGGCAACCUCAACAUCUCAACCCUUUGCCCGGGACAUCCCAAUCAGCCAGGGUGGAGACACCCACCAGCCCUUGGCCCUCUCUCUGCCUGGGGUGGGGCCUCUGGGAGUAGGUUCAUCUUCCAGAGUCAGCUCUGCCUCUCAGGAGCCAAUGGGGAUCAUUCACUGACAAUUAGUACCCAGAAGCUCAGCCCCUCCUCCGUGCUGGGUGUUGCACUGAGUGUGUGAAGCCAAAAGGAGAAAAGUGAGUUUACCUUUCUGGAGACAGGCGCAGAACACGCCAGCCCCCUCCGCUGUUGUUGACAUUUGAGCAGUGUAAGUGCCGAUUAUAAGAGCUUAUCUACAGGCCGUGAGGAGAGGUCAAGCCCCAUGCUCCAGUCACUCAACGAGCAUUGAGGACGUGUGGCACUAGGCCAGCUGAGAGCCCAGCCACCAGGUUUCAGGGCCUGGCCGUACCACAGCCACUCAGAGUGAGUGAACUUAGCUCAUCUUUUUGUGCUUCAAUAUCUUCAUCUAUUAAACGAGGAUAUAACAGUAAUACCUAAUCCCAUGCAAUAAAAACUAAAGCAGAGGUUACUGCAAACAGAGAGGCCAGGCAGAGAAAGGCUGCCCCGAGUGAGGAAUGUGCUGGCCCUCCCUGGCCCUCGCCUUCGCUUUCACUUGCUCAGUCUUCAGAUUCUCUCCUACCCCACUGUGUGCAGGCUUUGGACACCUGGGAAGGACCAUUCAGGUGCCAACCCUGAGGCACUUCCACCUGAGGGAGAGAUCAACCGUCCUGGUUCCAUACUCUGAGCAGCGUGUCCAGAUCUGAGCCCUUGCAGCCCCCUUCUCUGGCAACCACCACCGUGACAGCGAAGGCUUCCUGGAGGAGAAGAGCUGGAGGGACAGCGCCGGCCGGGGCCUAGAGAGGAUGGCAAGAGCGGCCUCCGCGGACUGCAGGGCCUGAGUGGGGGAGCCACGGCCGUCUUCCCACCCAGGCCGCGGGCAGAAGCCGGGGUCCCC